rnacentral:lncRNA from 1 species
AGGACUAGGUGAGCUAAUAAAGGGGCUUGCAGGAUGAAGUUUACUUUUUUUUCCCUUUCACCGUCAUCCAUGAGAAGACACAGUGUUCCAUCCAGAGGAUGUAGCAUCAAGGCGUCAUCUUAAAAGCAGAGAAAAGACUCUUACUUGACACCAGAUGCCAGUGCAUUGAUCUUGGACUUCCCAGCCUCUAGAACUAUUUAGUUCAGCCUGGUGUGGAUGCAUUUCAGAAUCUGUGAAAAAUGGAAUCACAAUGCUGUGACAGCAGCAUUUCUGCCUGUGGUAUCUGUGAAGCAGGUAAACAGCCCUGGGACAAAGAACAGACUACGGGUAUUGCCUUCUUAAUCAACAAUAAAGUAUUAGUUGGCUUCCAGGCAGACACCACUGACUUUCAAGAGAAAGGCACGGGAGUAAGGAAGUAAAGAAUUCAGGGCAAACGUCGAGCUUUCCUCUGGGCUCCAAUGUAAAAGAAGUGGAUAGCGGCUGACUAGUGUACAUAUUAUGUAUGCAGACUUUGAAGGAAUCCCCCUUGUUUUUAGCUGUUCUUCCAUUGCUCCUGGAGACUCUGAGCUCAGAGAUUUUCUAGGCUCUGAUGGGCAGAGUGGCUCGUUUCCUCCCUGAAGUUUCCUUCAUGCCACAUUCUGGAUUACAACCUCCUCCAAAGAGUGUCAUCUGUCAAUAUAAUGUCAUCUCUUGA